rnacentral:rRNA from 1 species
ACGUAGGGUGCGAGCGUUAAUCGGAAUUACUGGGCGUAAAGGGUGCGCAGGCGGCGUCGCAAGUCAGGCGUGAAAUCCCCGGGCUCAACCUGGGAACUGCAUUUGUGACUGCAUCGCUGGAGUGCGGCAGAGGGGGAUGGAAUUCCGCGUGUAGCAGUGAAAUGCGUAGAUAUGCGGAGGAACACCGAUGGCGAAGGCAAUCCCCUGGGCCUGCACUGACGCCCAUGCACGAAAGCGUGGGGAGCAAACAGGA